AGGUUCGAAUCCUGCACGACCCACCAAUUUCAGCAUUUAACUCAGAUGCUGAACGUGAAGGAUAACGUUGCGACAGCAACGGCCCGAAGGGCGAGGCGAAGUCGAGUCAUCCUGCACGACCCACCA
rnacentral:sRNA from 1 species